rnacentral:rRNA from 1 species
GCCGGUGGUUCUUGGGCUGGUGAAACACUCGAUCCCUUCCCGAACUCGAAAGUGAAACCCUUCCCCGCCAAUGGUACUUUGUCUCAAGACACGGAAGAGUAGGUCGCCGCCGGUU